GCUGGUCAUGGUGGCACAUGCCUGUAAUUCCAGCAACUUGGGAGGCUGAGGCAGGAGGAUCGCAAGUUCAAAGCCAGCGUCAUCAACUAAGGGAGGCCCUAAGCAACUUAGUUGCUCCUAAGCAACUUAGUGAGAUCCUAUCUCAA
rnacentral:sRNA from 1 species